UAACCUGCCUGGUAGCGGGGGAUAACUAUUGGAAACGAUAGCUAAUACCGCAUAAAAUUGAUUAUUGCAUGAUAAUUAAUUGAAAGAUGCAACUGCAUCACUACCAGAUGGACCUGCGUUGUAUUAGCUAGUUGGUGAGGUAACGGCUCACCAAGGCGACGAUACAUAGCCGACCUGAGAGGGUGAUCGGCCACACUGGGACUGAGACACGGCCCAG
rnacentral:rRNA from 1 species